AGAAGAAGAAAAUAUAUAUAUAUAUAUAUUUGGACGGAGAUGGCGCUAAUAUGGGAACAGAUCUCGCCCUCCAAGUUUCCAAUGGAGGGCAGGACGCGACGUCGUCGAGUAAACCAGGAGAAAGAUGGCGAAUGGACGAGACGAAAAGUGUGAACGUUGGACAGAGGAGGUUCGUUGCAGAUGAAGGCUUGUUAAAUGUGCUUCAUCGUUAUUGAUUGACUUGGUCUUUCUGUUUUUCUAUUACUUCUGUAUGUGAGGGAGAUUAUCGUUGAGAAUAUAUACUUUAGUCACUUGAAUUGUAUCAGAGUGAUGAAUAAAUUGACUGGUUCUUCUUGUUUUA